ACGGGGCCGCACAAGCGGUGGAGCAUGUGGUUAAUUCGAUGAUACGCGAGAAACCGUUACCAGGGCUUGACAUAUACAGGAAUGUUGUAGAGAUACAGCAGCCGCUUGCGGUCUGUAUACAGGUGCUGCAUGGCUGUCGUCAGCUCGUGCUGUGAAGUGUUGGGUUAAGUCCCGCAACGAGCGCAACCCUAUCAUCUGUUGCCAGCAUUUAAGGUGGGGACUCAGAUGAGACUGCCGGUGACAAACCGGAGGAAGUGGGGACGACGUCAAGUCAUCAUGGCCCUUAUGUCCUGGGCUACACACGUGCUACAAUGGCCGGUACAGAGUGAAGCGAAACCGCGAGGUGAAGCAAAACGCAGAAAGCCGGUCUCAGUACGGAUUGGAGUCUGAAACUCGACUUCAUGAAGUUGGAAUCGCUAGUAAUCGCGCAUCAGCAUGGCGCGGUGAAUACGUUCCCGGGCCUU
rnacentral:rRNA from 1 species